rnacentral:rRNA from 1 species
UCCUACGGGAGGCAGCAGUGAGGAAUAUUGGUCAAUGGACGCAAGUCUGAACCAGCCAUGCCGCGUGCAGGAAGACGGCUCUAUGAGUUGUAAACUGCUUUUGUACGAGGGUAAACGCAGAUACGUGUAUCUGUCUGAAAGUAUCGUACGAAUAAGGAUCGGCUAACUCCGUGCCAGCAGCCGCGGUAAUACGGAGGAUUCAAGCGUUAUCCGGAUUUAUUGGGUUUAAAGGGUGCGUAGGCGGGCUGUUAAGUCAGCGGUCAAAUGUCGGGGCUCAACCCCGGCCUGCCGUUGAAACUGGCGGC